UGUGUAGGCGGUUUUCUAAGUCUGGUGUGAAAUCUCCCGGCUCAACUGGGAGGGUGCGCCGAAAACUGGAAGGCUAGAGUGCGGGAUGGGUAAGUGGAAUUCCUGGUGUAGCGGUGAAAUGCGUAGAUAUCAGGAGGAACACCUGUGGUGUAGACGGCUUACUGGACCGCAACUGACGCUGAGACACGAAAGCGUGGGUAGCAAACA
rnacentral:rRNA from 1 species